rnacentral:rRNA from 1 species
GGUUAAAGAUAUAGCCGGUCUCACCUAUUAGUAGGUGAGGAAAAACGUUGUACACACCGCCCGUCGCUACUACCGACUGAAUGGCUCAGUGAGUCCUUGGGACUUGCUCAGAGAUGUCGGCAACGACCACUUAGAGCCGGAACCUUGGUCAAACUUGGUCAUUUAGAGGAAGUAAAAGUCGUACCAAGG